UGUCGUUGCAAAUCGUUCUUAUCAACAGCAUUUUGUGUUGUUUCUCAACAAACACCAGUGUGUGUUGUAAUGCAACCAGUAAUCGUUGCGUUGUGUGUAAUUGUGUUGUGAAUAUCGCAUAUUUGAAUGAUCAGUGUUGAUGUGCUGUUGAUUUUGUCAGUGUAGGCAGUGACAACAAUAAUAUCAAAUUCCUUUAUAUUAUUACACGGUUUCAUUGCAAUGUUGUUGCUCUGUGAAACGUUUGUCUUGUACUGUCAUUCCGUCGGUUAAUUAGUGGAAGAUGUGUGAUGAAAACGUGACAGUUGGCAAUGUACCGUGUAUUGUGGUGUUAGGCGCUCGGAUGUGUGUGGGUGUGCGGUUAAUGUUGAGUGAUUUCUCAAAUGUCGACCUCAGAUCAGACGAGAUCACCCGCUAAAUUUAAGCAUAUCAAUAAGCGGUGGAAAAGAAACGAAAACGAAUUCUCCGAGUAGCGGCGAGCGAAACGAGAGCAGUCCAUACACCGAAGUCGGCGAGCAGUUGUGUUCGUCAACAGUGUGGUGUUAAAGGUGUCGUUGCAUGUGCUGAAUCAGUUCGUAGGCUCCCUUGAUUGGGGCUUCAGAGCGGGUGCAGGACCCAUAACGAACGAUGUUUUGUGCAUGGUGUCGCGGCUCCUAAUCGAGUCGGGUUGCUUGAGACUGCAGCCCAAAGCGGGUGGUAAAUCUCACCCAAGACUAAAUAUUCGUACGAGACCGAUAGCGAACAAGUACCGCGAGGGAAAGUUGAAAAGAACUCUGAAGAGAGAGUUCAACAGGACGUGAAACCGUUGACAGGCAAACGGAUGGAGCUGACGGUGCAAUUUUGACCAAAAUCAGUCGUCGCUGUGUUCGUUGGCGAAUGAAUCUUUUGCAAACUUGUUUGUGUAGAUUAUCUUUCGUUUCGAAUGUACGCACGGUGCACUUUUGGUCGAUUAGCGUCACGAGCAACGUUCGCAUUUUUUGCUGCCGACAGUAAUUGUGUUUGUUGUUUUAAAAGCAACAAACAAUAAAGGCGGUUUGUGGAAGAGGUAAUUGUGGUAAAGACUUGUGCUUUUGUCUCAAUUGCCGUGCCAAUGCCGCAUCUCUCGGAUGAAUGUUGUUGUUGACAAGUUGAAGAGCAUUGUUCUGCGUACAAUUGUAAUGGGUCUGUUGGUGCCGUUGCGUUCGUGGGUUUCGGCUCACGAUUUGUCUGGUACGUCGGGAAAAAAGUCAAUUAUGAAUGUAAUUGAUCUGACUACCGUGCGUAACGGUAUUCAAAUGUGUGUUUGAUGGACUUUAUUUGCAAUCGGCGCUCAAUGUGUUUUCUUUUAUCGGUGGCGUCAAUGUUAGCCUCCCAUCCGACCCGUCUUGAAACACGGACCAAGGAGUUCAGUAGGCACGCGAGUCGUUGACGUUUUUCAUUGAACAGUCGAAGGCGAAAUGAAAGUGUUCAUGAAAAUGAACAGUACUUUUUUAUGGAGUGCUGCUCGCUUUUAACAUGAUCGUCCUUUUUUGUGCUUAAUUGUGCAAAAUUGAUAUAUGGGGACGCGCAGUGUGGUGCCGUUGAAUACUCGCACUGUUCUUUCUUUCUCUUCGGGGUUGGAGGAACAAUUGUCGAUCAGUCGGUUUCGGAGCGUGCACACUGGUACCCGAAAGAUGGUGAACUAUGCUUGAGCAGAAUGAAGCCAGAGGAAACUCUGGUGGAAGUUCGUAGCGGUGUUGACGUGCAAAUCACUCGUCUGACUUGAGUGUAGGGGCGAAAGACUAAUCGAACCAUCUAGUUGCUGGUUCCUUCCGAAGUUUCCCUCAGGAUAGCUGGCAUUUGUUUGUAACAAUUUUAUCCGGUAGAGCGAAUGAUUAGAGGUGUUGGGAACGCAAUGUUCUCAGCCUAUUCUCAAACUUCGAAUGGGUAAGCAAGGCGUUUUGCUUUGAUUUUACGAUGAAAUCGCCCAAUUAGAAUGCAUAAAUGCCUAGUGGGCCAAUUUUGGUAAGCAGAACUGGCGAUGUGGAAUGAACCAAAAGUCAGGUUAAGGUGCCAGACAUUGGCGCUCAUGAAAUACCAGAAAAGGUGUUGGUCGAUAUAGACAGCAGGACGGUGGCCAUGGAAGUUGGAAUCCGCCAAGGAGUGUGUAACACUCACCUGCCGAAUCGACUAGCCCUGAAAAUGGAUAGCGUUUGAGCGCCAGGCCCAUACCUGACCGUCUCAAUUACGCACUUUUUUUUCGGAAAAGGUGUAAUGAACGUUGAGACGGGUAGGAAGGUCGCGACAGUGUUGCUUUGAAGAGUUUUGAGCGUGAGCUCGCUCGGAGCCGCUGUUGGUGCAGAUCUUGGUGGUAGUAGCAAUAUUCAAGUGAGAACCUUGAAGGCUGAAGUGGAGCAAGGUUCCAUGUGAACAGCAGUUGGACAUGGGUCAGUCGAUCCUAAGAAAACGGCGAAAGCUUGUUCGAAUUUGCGACAUGAAUUGUAAGACUGUGUGUUUAUUGUGUGUGUGUGCAGUUGUCGUAUGUUUUCGAAAGGGAAUCCGGUUGAUAUUCCGGAACCGAGUAACGGAGACAAGAGUAGCGCUUUAAUCUCUCUGUGGGGUUGGCGUUCAACUCAAUCGCGCGGUAACGCAAGCGAACUCGGAAAAUGACCGUCGUGAGUUUCGAAAAGAGUUUUCUUUUCUUUUUAAGGGACGCAUUCCCUGGAACCGGGUUGUCCGGAGAUAGGGAUUCUGGUAUCCAUAAAACGCCGACUUUUUCACGGUGUUCGGAGCGCUCUCGUCGGUACGUGAAAAUCCGAGCGACGCCUGGUAAAU
rnacentral:rRNA from 1 species